CACCGACCCGUCUCGGGGUGUUUUUUCCUGCUAGCCUGAAAGGUUUGGGCCCAGAAUCGCCCCCCGAGAUGGAUGGGUCACACCUGACUGCCUUUAGUGCU
rnacentral:lncRNA from 1 species